CGUAGGGUGCGAGCGUUAAUCGGAAUUACUGGGCGUAAAGCGUGCGCAGGCGGCUUCGCAAGUCAGACGUGAAAGCCCCGGGCUUAACCUGGGAAUGGCGUUUGAAACUACGGAGCUGGAGUGUGGCAGAGGGGGGUGGAAUUCCACGUGUAGCGGUGAAAUGCGUAGAUAUGUGGAGGAACACCGAUGGCGGAGGCAGCCCCCUGGGCCAACACUGACGCUCAUGCACGAAAGCGUGGGGAGCAAACAGGAUUAGAUACCCUGGUAGUCCACGCCCUAAACUAUGUCGACUAGUUGUUGGGGGAGUUAAAUCCCUUAGUAACGCAGCUAACGCGUGAAGUCGACCGCCUGGGGAGUACGGUCGCAAGAUUA
rnacentral:rRNA from 1 species